rnacentral:rRNA from 1 species
UCCCGUUGAUCCUGCGGGAGUAUGCUGCUAUUGGGAUUCGAUUAAGCCAUGCAAGUCUGGGGAAUCUUUCGGGAUUCCCGGCAAAAUGCUCAGUAACACGUCGAUAAUCUGCCCUUUGGUGAGGGAUAACCUCGGGAAACUGAGGAUAAAACCUUAUAGGGGAUAGUUUCUGGAAUGAUCUUUCCUUUAAACUACGGGCCAAAGGAUGAGUCGGCGGCGGAUUAGGUAGUUGGAGAGGUAAAGGCUCACCAAGCCUAAGAUCCGUAGGGGCCGUGAGAGCGGUAGCCCCGAGAAGGACACUUAGAUACUGGUCCUAGCCCUACGGGGUGCAGCAGGCGCGAAACCUCUACAAUGCACGAAAGUGUGAUAGGGGAAUCCCAAGUGCUUACACAAAGUGUAGGCUUUUGCCAAGAGUAAAUAUCUUGGCGAAUAAGUGGUGGGUAAGACUGGUGCCAGCAGCCGCGGUAACCCCAGCGCCACAAGUGGCAUACGCAUUUAUUGGGCCUAAAGCGUCCGUAGCCGGUCUGUUAAAUCUCUUGUGAAAUCAUAGUGCUUAACUCUAUGGCGGGCAGGAGACACUGAUAGACUUGGAACCGGGAGGAGUCAGAGGUAUUCUAGGGGGAGCGGUAAAAUGUUAUAAUCCUUAGAGGACCACCUGUGGCGAAGGCGUCUGACUAGAACGGAUUCGACGGUGAGGGACGAAGGCCAGGGGAGCGAACCGGAUUAGAUACCCGAGUAGUCCUGGCAGUAAACGCUGCGAGCUAGGUGUUACGUAUUCUCCGUGAGUACGUGGUGUCGUAGAGAAGUCGUUAAGCUCGCCGCCUGGGAAGUAUGGUCGCAAGACUGAAACUUAAAGGAAUUGGCGGGGGAGCACUACAAGGGGUGCGGCGUGCGGUUUAAUCUAAUUCAACGCAGAGAAUCUCACCAGGAGCGACGGCAGGAUGAAAGUCAGUCUAAAGGGCUUACUUGACGAGCCGAGAGGUAGUGCAUGGCCGCCGUCAGCUCGUGCCGCCGUGUCCUGUUAAGUCAGGCAACGAGCGAGACCUGUGCUUACAAUUGCUACCGGGCAUUACGAUGCGACCGGGCACAUUGUAAGGACUGCCUUGGAAACAAGGAGGAAGGUGCAGGCUACGGUAGGUCUGUAUGCUCCGAAUCUUCUGGGCUACACGCGCGCAACAAUGGUAAGGACAAUGGGAUGCAACUCCGAAAGGAGAAGCCAAGCCUCUAAACCUUAUCCAAGUCCAAAUUGAGGGCUGUAACUCGCCCUCAUGACGCCGGAAUCCCUAGUAAUCGGAACUCAUCACAUUCCGGUGAAUAUGUCCCUGCUCCUUGCACACACCGCCCGUCAAACCAACCGAGUCGGGUUUAGAUGAGCCUUGGCUUCUUGGUCAAGUCAAAUCUAAGCUCAGUGAGGUGGGUUAAGUCGUCACAAGGUA